AGGAACGUGACGGUGAUGCCGCUGGAGCGCGGCCAGCUCGGGUCUGUGCCCGUGGUGUUCCCUGUGGCACAGCGUCCGACGGCUGGAGACAGAGCAGCUGCUGUAUGUGGAGACCACUCGCACCCACAGUGAUUGCUCCAGAGAGUGGCUUUCCUGUCGCGUUGUUCCAGUUGGCUGCAAGGAAGGUGCCAGACCGAUGCACUUAUAGACAACGCUGCUCAAGGCUGCUCCUUCAAGAGGGACGUUCCCCUUCCUUUGCCUGCAGGGCUGUGGGAUCCUGCUGGACUCCAGAGGGACCUGUGGUGCCCGAGGACUGGCUGGUUGGAUGCACAGAGCACCGUGAGCGGGUUGGAUUUGGGCAGGCAAACCCCUCUGCCUGGCCCUACCUCCUGGCAACGAGGUGGUGUCAGCUCUGGCACAACUUCUGGGGCUGGAGGUACCAUCCUGCUGCCUACUCCAGUUGUCCAGCCCCAGGGAUUUCUGCUGGGCCUCCCAAGGGUGUUUAAAAUAAAAAAAAAAAAUACAAAAAAAAAAAAUCACCUUUUUCAACCUUUUCUUGGCCAGCAUGAUGGAGGUGAUUGCAUUUGCUCUUGUAGCGUGCCAAGGGAGGCCCCCUUCAGGAAGCUGAUGGGGGUAGGAGCCUGAUUAGGACUAAUUUUGAACUUAAAAUUGUCCCUCCUCCAUACCUUUUUUGCAUAUUUCAAACAACCAGACCCAUAUUAGAAAAAGAGUGUAGGGAAAAAAUAAUCCUGUGAUCCAUGCAUAUCCUGACUGGAACUCAGUUCAUUCUUUCUGAAUCUGGCUCCCAUACCCUUUUUCAUACAGAUUUACAUUCCUACAAGAGGAUACAUUCCUACCAUACAUUCUGUACAUGUUACAAUCCAGAUGUUGUUAGCUUCACAAUAAAAUAAAUAUAUUUACAGAAGAAAAAAAAAGAAUAAAUAAUUUAUGAAAAAAAUCA